AAGGAGAAGGGAUCAGGAGUGGGGAUCUUAGACAAAAGACGAAAACAGAAAUAAAACAAGAGACAGGCACAGCUCACAACACACUAGGAACCAAGACAUAUGAGCAGCUCACUCCUAGAAGCCAACAUGCAUAGCUCUACAAUUCUCUAAUGACUUCUUCCUAUGGAGACAGAAUGACUCAAAACUAAACAGAACAGCAGUCUCUAGUAAUCACAAAAUGUAUAUUGCUGCAUGUUCUGGUCAAAUGACUUGGCAAAAAUCCAGGGAAUCUUUUGAAAUGUCUGUCAGCCCCUUGUCCUGGUUCCAGGCCAGCCUCGGGAGCCACUUUUGGUUCAGGGUGGAGAGAAUAUGGCACAACAGGGAGAGCCUCAUAAAUGCAAUUGCCAAUGGGCACAUGUACCCAAGGCGGAGUCACGUGCAGUCUACAAGGAACCCUUUCCUUCUUGUGGUUUUGGCAGUCAGUACUUGAGAUUAUUCUUUAACUCAUUCUUGUUAGCUAAGAGAAAUAGGUAUAUUAACCGCCUCACUGGUAAAGAAAGAAGACAGCUUCCACUUGAAUUGCAAUUCAAUUGCCCAGGGAAUAAAUCCACCCCAAAUUUGGGAAAACUUUCUAAGCUUUAAAAUAUCCAUCUGGAAGGCCGGAUCCUGCUCCUGCCGGCCAUCCAGAUCCCACGGCUCUGCCUUGUAUCUCUAUGACCCUGUAAACUUCUGGCUUCUUCUUUUCUCGGCAUUCUAUUCAGGCUGGAAAGACCUUUCCAUAAACCAAACCCAGGACUGGUUGCUCCUUGAAACUGCUGGUGCACAGGCACAAAGGCCUAAAGAUGGCCACAUGGGGCUGUCUUUUCAUUGUAGUUCAGUCAGAAUCUCAGUUUCUGUUCGUGGAGUUCUAAAAGGAAAUCUUUGCUUUUUUUUCUGCUCCAUUCCAGGGAAUCAGUUUGGAAAGUUCUGUCCAUCUGCCCUGUGUCCUACAACUGAGGAGCUGAGGAUAGUUAGAGGCACUCUCCGUCAGAAUGGAGUUUGUGUCCAUCAUGAUGCAGAAGCUGAAGUUUGGAGAAGACACAUGGCAUGUUCACAGUUACACGCCAAAGGAAUUCCAGGCUCGUGGGAAACCUACUCUUGCCUCCUGAAAUUACACCAUGCCAAUGGCUGCCAGACCAUCUCCCUGGAAAGCUGGCCCUGUUUUCCUGCCUGUGAAGUGUAGGUCUUCUUCAUGCCAUGACUACACACCGGUUUGGGGAGCAAAGUAAGUGUCUUCAGGUAGAUAGUACAAAGUAUGGUGUAUCUGUGCAGGUCUAUCUGCUAUAGGAUAAUACAUUGAGCAAAGAAUUUCACUGUAGAGCAUGCUUUAGUCCCCAACUGUCCUCCAAAGCAAGCAAUAAAUCUUAACAAGAAGAGAAAUAAUGACUAGGAAGAAGUACAACGUGGGUAGGAGGGGUGUUUUAAAGAAUGCCUGAAGACAAAUGUCAUGUUCUAGAUGCUUAGGAUGAAUCCCUGUAUAUUUAGAAUCCCACCCUCAGCUAGCAACACACAUGUUAUUAUCCCACUGUCACUGGAAACAUUUAAGAGCAAAAGAAAAAUUUCUCUGGAAAUGAAGUAGUACAAUAGCUCUUGAGGUCUUAUAAUUAAAGGAUAUAUUUGCUCAAGGGGAAAACAACCAAAUCAAUUUUAAAAGGCAACAGCUGAGUAAAAGCAAGUUCUUUGUCCAUUAGGGGUUGUAAAAGGAAAAUUAUAACCUGGCACCGCCUUCAGACAGCCUUUGAUGCUCAGUCAUUCUACUUGCUGUUGAGCUUCUCUGUAACAAUCCACUUAGAAAAAAACCCAAGAAAUAAGCCUUGGUAAGCUCAUAAAGUUAGAGUGUCUUCCGCAGAAUUGCACUAUACUUCUCAAAAUGACUCAGAAAUAUUUAACACUAUAAAUAAAAAAAGAAAUACUUCUGUAUGAAUAUACAAAUUUUUCAGGCUUAGGAUAAUCAUAAAGGUAAAAUAUGCCUGGACCGCAUAUUCUAAGUAAGAAAAAAUGUAUCACUGAAAUGAAAACAGUAAUUAUAUUUCACUGUUUCAUCAAUAUAUUGCUUGUAUUCAUCUACAUCCUAUUUUGUUUAAGAAAAAAAGAGUGAAGGCUGGGUGCAGUGGCUCAUGCCUGUAAUCCCAGCACUU